ACGAACGCUGGCGGCGUGCUUCACACAUGCAAGUCGAACGGAAAGGCCCCCUUGGGGGUACUCGAGUGGCGAACGGGUGAGUAACACGUGAGUAACCUGCCCUUGACUUCGGGAUAACUUCAGGAAACUGGGGCUAAUACCGGAUAGGAAUCCUUGCUGCAUGGUGGGGGGUGGAAAGCUUCGGCGGUUUUGGAUGGACUCGCGGCUUAUCAGCUUGUUGGUGGGGUAGUGGCUUACCAAGGCUUUGACGGGUAGCCGGCCUGAGAGGGCGACCGGCCACAUUGGGACUGAGAGACGGCCCAGACUCCUACGGGAGGCAGCAGUGGGGAAUAUUGCACAAUGGGCGGAAGCCUGAUGCAGCAACGCCGCGUGCGGGAUGACGGCCUUCGGGUUGUAAACCGCUUUCAGCAGGGGCGAAGCUUGUGGUGACGGUACCUGCAGAAGAAGCACCGGCUAACUACGUG
rnacentral:rRNA from 1 species